GGAUGACAAAUGGGAAGACGGCAUUCAACACUCCCAUGGGACACUUCGAGUAUCUGGUAAUGCCCUUAGGGUUAACAAUCUCCUCCGCUACAUGCUCAACAGUGCAUUGUGGAGGUGGACGCCUCUGAUACUUGGACUCCCCCCUGCAGAGAGAAAUUGCUAGAUUGGUAACCAAGAGCUACUUGCUGUUAAACUGGCCCUGGAGGAAUGGUGCCACUUGUUGGGGGAGGGGGCAGAACCGUGGACAAAUCACAAGAGCCUUGUAUACAUCCAGUCUACUAAACGUUUGAACUCCAGGCAAGCCAGUCCGUUCUCAGGUCCUCCAGUGGGCUCACUCCUCUCAACUUACCUCUUCCAAUCCAUCGUCUUGGAGCACCUUACUGCCCUGGGUGGAAUAUGCCCACAACACCUUGCCCAAUGCCACAAAGAAACAGGAGUUGGCUGUUCCCUCUGUCCAAGCUCAUAUACGCCACUAUUAAAAGUGGUGCUGUGUUCAACUCCAGCCAUCCUCCAACUCCUUUUCUACUCUGGACCCGCACACACAAAUGGACCUCAGGACUCAUCAUUGGACUCACAUACUCCCAGGAAUUCAGGCAACCUCUGGACACGGGCUCCGCCAACCUCUCUCUCCCCCUGGAUUCACUCACCCUGGACUCUCACUCCCCUGGACUCACCGCCCCCCCCCUCCCCACUCCUGACCAAGCUAAGAUUCUCAAUUACAUUUUUCAUCUUCACUAAUAAAUGAUUUGUUCCUUCGA